GGGCGAAAGCCUGAUGCAGCGACGCCGCGUGAGGGAUGACGGCCUUCGGGUUGUAAACCUCUUUCAGCAGGGACGAAGCGAAAGUGACGGUACCUGCAGAAGAAGCACCGGCCAACUACGUGCCAGCAGCCGCGGUAAUACGUAGGGUGCGAGCGUUGUCCGGAAUUACUGGGCGUAAAGAGCUCGUAGGCGGUUUGUCGCGUCGUCUGUGAAAACCAGCAGCUCAACUGCUGGCUUGCAGGCGAUACGGGCAGACUUGAGUACUGCAGGGGAGACUGGAAUUCCUGGUGUAGCGGUGAAAUGCGCAGAUAUCAGGAGGAACACCGGUGGCGAAGGCGGGUCUCUGGGCAGUAACUGACGCUGAGGAGCGAAAGCGUGGGUAGCGAACAGGAUUAGAUACCCUGGUAGUCCACGCCGUAAACGGUGGGCGCUAGGUGUGGGUUUCCUUCCACGGGAUCCGUGCCGUAGCUAACGCAUUAAGCGCCCCGCCUGGGGAGUACGGCCGCAAGGCUAAAACUCAAAGGAAUUGACGGGG
rnacentral:rRNA from 1 species